UGCAGAGGGUGCAACCGUUGUUCGGAAUUACUGGGCGUAAAGCGUGUGUAGGCGGCUUAGCAAGUCGGAUGUGAAAGCCCCGGGCUCAACCCGGGAAGUGCACUCGAUACUGCUGAGCUUGAGUGUCGGAGAGGUUGGUGGAAUUCUCGGUGUAGAGGUGAAAUUCGUAGAUAUCGAGAGGAACACCGGUGGCGAAGGCGGUCUGCUGGGGUCGAACUGACGCUGAGGCGCGACAGCGUGGGGAGCAAACAGG
rnacentral:rRNA from 1 species